UGCGAACUCCUACGGGAGGCAGCAGUGGGGAAUUUUGGACAAUGGGGGCAACCCUGAUCCAGCAAUGCCGCGUGAGUGAAGAAGGCCUUCGGGUUGUAAAGCUCUUUUGUCAGGGAAGAAACGGUAGUAGCUAAUAUCUAUUACUAAUGACGGUACCUGAAGAAUAAGCACCGGCUAACUACGUGCCAGCAGCCGCGGUAAUACGUAGGGUGCAGGCGUUAAUCGGAAUUACUGGGUGUAAAGCGUGCGCAGGCGGUUGUGUAAGUCAGAUAUGAAAUCCCCGGGCUCAACCUGGGAAUUGCAUUUGAGACUGCACGGCUAGAGUGUGGCAGAGGGGGGUAGAAUUCCACGUGUAGCAGUGAAAUGCGUAGAUAUGUGGAGGAAUACCGAUGGCGAAGGCAGCCCACUGGGAUAACGCUGACGCUCAUGCACGAAAGCGUGGGGAGCAAACAGGAUUAGAUACCCUUGUAGUCCAGAUG
rnacentral:rRNA from 1 species